UAGAUGAGUGGAAAGGUGCU
rnacentral:piRNA from 2 species